CGCGUGAGUGAUGAAGGCCUUAGGGUCGUAAAGCUCUUUCGCCUGUGAUGAUAAUGACAGUAGCAGGUAAAGAAACCCCGGCUAACUCCGUGCCAGCAGCCGCGGUAAUACGGAGGGGGUUAGCGUUGUUCGGAAUUACUGGGCGUAAAGCGCACGUAGGCGGAUUGGAAAGUUGGGGGUGAAAUCCCGGGGCUCAACCCCGGAACUGCCUCCAAAACUAUCAGUCUAGAGUUCGAGAGAGGUGAGUGGAAUUCCAAGUGUAGAGGUGAAAUUCGUAGAUAUUUGGAGGAACACCAGUGGCGAAGGCGGCUCACUGGCUCGAUACUGACGCUGAGGUGCGAAAGUGUGGGGAGCAAACAGGAUUAGAUACCCUGGUAGUCCACACCGUAAACGAUGAAUGCCAGUCGUCGGGCAGUAUACUGUUCGGUGACACACCUAACGGAUUAAGCAUUCCGCCUGGGGAGUACGGUCGCAAGAUUAAAACUCA
rnacentral:rRNA from 1 species